rnacentral:lncRNA from 1 species
GAGAUUGCUUCCUCUCUAGCCUCAAGGCUCCGUCCUCUGAAAGCCACGCUUGGGAUCUUCAGGUAACAGAAUAUUGGCAUGUAGCACUACUCAAAACAUAGAAAGCAGAAACAAAUCAAUUCUGCCUGGAGGACCUCCCCGAUCUCAACACCCAGUGGUUUUGACAGAAUUGAUAGAGAAAUAGAAACUUCAAGCAACCUUGCGAUGGAGGCAGAAGAAGGAUUCUAUGAUUGGAAACCUGCCAGACUCACCGGCUACGGAGAAGAAAGGCUAAAUCCACCAGACUGUUGGAUGCACCUAAAACAAAUUGCCCUCUGUGGUUCGGUUUCUUAUUAAUAGACUCAUAGAAAUGCACAAGAACUGAAAACUCGAUAGGGAAACCAAAAAAUAAAAAUUAAAA